AUUGAACGCUGGCGGAGUGCUUUACACAUGCAAGUCGAACGAUGAAGCCUAGCUUGCUAGGUCGAUUAGUGGCGAACGGGUGAGUAAUAUAUCGGAACGUAUCCAAUGAUGGGGGAUAACUAGUCGAAAGAUUGGCUAAUACCGCAUACGUCCUACGAGAGAAAGCUGGGGAUCGUAAGACCUGGCGUUAAUGGAGCGGCCGAUAUCUGAUUAGAUAGUUGGUGAUGUAAAGGCUCACCAAGGCGACGAUCAGUAGCUGGUCUGAGAGGACGGCCAGCCACACUGGAACUGAGACACGGUCCAGACUCCUACGGGAGGCAGCAGUGGGGAAUUUUAGACAAUGGGCGAAAGCCUGAUCCAGCCAUUCCGCGUGAGUGAAGAAGGCCUUCGGGUUGUAAAGCUCUUUCGCAAGGGAGGAACACUUACUUAAUAACACUAAGUGAGGUUGACGGUACCUUGAUAAGAAGCACCGGCUAACUACGUGCCAGCCGCCGCGGUAACAC
rnacentral:rRNA from 1 species